rnacentral:rRNA from 1 species
AACGAACGCUGGCGGCAGGCCUAACACAUGCAAGUCGAACGCCCGUAGCAAUACGGGAGUGGCAGACGGGUGAGUAACGCGUGGGAACGUGCCCUUCGGUUCGGAAUAACUCAGGGAAACUUGAGCUAAUACCGGAUACGUCCGUAAGGAGAAAGAUUUAUCGCCGAAGGAUCGGCCCGCGUCGGAUUAGCUAGUUGGUGAGGUAACGGCCCACCAAGGCGACGAUCCGUAGCUGGUCUGAGAGGANGAUCAGCCACACUGGGACUGAGACACGGCCCAGACUCCUACGGGAGGCAGCAGUGGGGAAUAUUGGACAAUGGGCGAAAGCCUGAUCCAGCCAUGCCGCGUGAGUGAAGAAGGCCUUAGGGUUGUAAAGCGUCUUUCAGCGGGAAGAUAAUGACGGUACCCGCAGAAGAAGCCCCGGCUAACUUCGUGCCAGCAGCCGCA